rnacentral:rRNA from 1 species
AGCGAACGCUGGCGGCAGGCUUAACACAUGCAAGUCGAGCGGGCCCUUCGGGGUCAGCGGCAGACGGGUGAGUAACACGUGGGAACGUACCCUUUGGUUCGGAAUAACGCUGGGAAACUAGCGCUAAUACCGGAUACGCCCUUUUGGGGAAAGGCUUGCUGCCGAAGGAUCGGCCCGCGUCUGAUUAGCUAGUUGGUGGGGUAAUGGCCUACCAAGGCGACGAUCAGUAGCUGGUCUGAGAGGAUGAUCAGACACACUGGGACUGAGACACGGCCCAGACUCCUACGGGAAGCAGCAGUGGGGAAUAUUGGACAAUGGGCGCAAGCCUGAUCCAGCCAUGCCGCGUGAGUGAUGAAGGCCUUAGGGUUGUAAAGCUCUUUUGUCCGGGACGAUAAUGACGGUACCGGAAGAAUAAGCCCCGGCUAACUUCGUG